GCCUUUGUGGUGUAAUGGUCAGCACACUGAGCCGGUAUUUCAGAGGUCCGUGAUUCGAUCCCCGGCGAAGGCA
rfam:Stegodyphus mimosarum contig43376, whole genome shotgun sequence.